rnacentral:pre_miRNA from 1 species
CGAUAGACACCCAUCAUGUCUUUUGCCCUGCAGUCGGUAAAUUUUUUUUUUUUCUGAAUGUGUAGCAAAAGACAGAAUGGAGGUCGAUUG